AUGAGUUUUCAGUCCUGGAACCAUCCUGCGGCGGUGCAGCAUAUUGUGCGCAAUGAACAAGCCAUAGUCGACAACCUUACUGAAGAUAACGCGACAAGGGUGUUGGCUAGCAGAAGGACAGCAGAGGGCGAACAGUUGUACUUAGUCUAUGAUCAGGGUAGUGCUGGGACUAGUCCCCCAAAUAAGCUGCUCGUCAAGAAGUUCCACAAUGCGAACCCAGCGCUACAAGUAGACGGCAAUGUCAUGUACCGCUGCAACUCGGAGAUGUUCCUGUUAGCCAACAUUUCUCACAAAAACAUCAUCAAAGUUGUAGACCAUAUCCAGAGGGAAGACGCAAUCAUGCUCAUUUAUGAGUAUCCGGUUCAUGGAAGCCUUCGAUCCUGGCUGCACCAACCCAUGGAUGCCGGUCGGCACCUGAGCUGGCCGGACAGGAGGGGCAUCGCCAUUGGUGUGGCCAGAGGGCUCCGCCAGUUACACCACAGAUGCAACAAACUGUUUGUCCACCACAACAUCAACUCUGAAAACAUCUUGCUUGAUCAGAAUUUCAAGGCCGUGAUAGCCAGCUUUGGCGCUGCACAGGUUAACAUGGCGGGGCUCGGCCAACCCUUGCCAAUCACGGACCUGCGUCCUGGUAACUUUGGGUACGCAGCUCCAGAAUAUGGGUUGGGGAAAAACCAGCUGACGGAGAAGGUAGACAUUUACAGCUUUGGAGUGCUGAUGCUGGAGCUUGUCACAGGGCGGAUGACCAAUGAAGCUACAACAGAUGGUCAUUUGGCGAAUUGGGCACAGAACAACUUCCGUACACUGAUGGCGAACCAACAGGAAGCAUUCCAGAAUGUUGUGGACAGGAGCAUACCAGAUCAAGCACGGUACAGGGAGGAGAUGGCAACUGUGUUCAUGCUGGGCGUGGAUUGCACUACUGUGGAUCCGAAGGAAAGGCCAUCCAUGCGGAUGGCUCUCAAACGACUCCGCCGCUGCCGUUGGCGUGCCCCAUUCCGUGGCCUCCUCACCGGCUUUCUGAUGUGA
rnacentral:rRNA from 1 species